UUACUUGAAUUUGUUUGGAUAAGAAGUCAUGAUCACUUUAGCAUUUAAACGGAAAUCUUAAACUUUAUGACUCAAAUUACUUUAAUGUUCAAAUAAUGUGUCAAAUAAAAUAGUGUGUUCUGUACGACUCUAAAAAUUUUUUUUUAGACUGUACAAAGCUUCCCUGAAUUAACCGCAAGAAGCUGAUAAAAUCAAGAAAAGUACUCACAUUGACGAAAGCCGCAAGCAAACCAUAAGAGUGAGCGAGAGGGAAAUAGGCAGCUAACGCUUUACGUCGGAUAAGCUAAGGAAAUAGCAGAAAAAAUACUAGAUUUCGCGAGUGAAUGAGCUUGCGGCGCUGGAGAUCGCGCUGGCUUUGUUGGCGAAAAGGAAAAAGGAGAGGAAUACCAAAGCAAUACCAGAACUGGCAAGCAGUUUUGCCUGAACAGUUGUAAAGAAUUUAACGUUAACACCCGUUACUUGAAGAUUAAAAGGGUCGAUUAAAAUCGUUGGAAAAUAUGGAAGAAAGGUGGAAGAAAGUUUUUCUGACCGUAUAAAGUAUCAAGCAAAAACACCUCUUAACGAGGUAAGGCCUCGUGACGAUCGCACAUUCAACAUACAAAAGUUCUGUUACACAAUUUUGUGACGAAAAAUGAUUGUACAUCCGACUAAAUAAAUACACUUUUUAAUAUGUUUCGUUUCUACAUGUAUGUCCUGCUCCCACUUACGUUAAAUCGUAUAGUCUGAGAAAAAACUGAUCUAAUGAAUGAGCCGAACAAUGCCUUGGAAUUAACGCAUUAUAGUGGAGUCAGGCUUUUUAAAAAACUGAAUCGGAUAACUACAGCUGCAGAUAUAGAUUUUCAAGCAGAUGUUGUUAAUAAAAUUAAAUGUAAAGAUGUAGUUAAAUUUAAUCGUUCUUUAGCAAACUAACAAAGUUAUAAAUAAUUUCUUUUUAACCGAGUCCUGAUACACGUAUUGAUCUUUUUACC